GACGAACGCUGGCGGCGUGCUUAACACAUGCAAGUCGAACGAGAUCCAACCAGUGGCAACACCGGAGAAGAUCUAGUGGCGAACGGGUGAGUAACACGUGAGAAACCUGCCCCGAAGUCU
rnacentral:rRNA from 1 species